rnacentral:sRNA from 1 species
GAAUUUUUAUGUGAUUAAGAUUUAAUUGAUUUUGUAUAUAAAAUAUUAAAUUGUUUUACGAACUUAUUUGUUUAUAAUUUGGUAACAGAUAGAUAUUUGAAUAUUCAGUAUAUUUUGCUUCAGUUUAGGAAAUCUUUGAUGACCCGUCUUUAAAUCCAAUAAGCCCUAUAAUUAAAAGAUGAAUAUUGUCGUUAAAUGAUUUUGGUAAUCUUAAUGAUGUCAUUAAAAGAUUUUGUUUUUGAUUAAAUUUUUCUAAUGGCAUUAUCAUGUAAUUAAUUACAAAAAUUAAGGUUACAUUUAAAAUGUACUUCCCAAAUAAUAUAGUAGGACGAUAUGCACUUUUAUACAAAUCCACCAAAAAAGUCUUGCAAAUAUAUUAUAGAGAUAAGAAACGAUAGUCGGUUUUGAUAGGUAUAAGAUUAGCAAAUAUAUUAGUUCGCUUAAAUUAGUUAAAGAAUACAAAUUGAAAAGGUAUAUUACACUUUAUUCGAAUAUAGUAUCAAAAGUUAUAUAGAGAUUUGAUAAUUUUUUAAUUGUUGAAUACUUUUUUUUUGUGCUAAUUUUAUGUGAUUAAGAUUUAGUUGAUUUCGUAUAUAAAAUAUUAAAUUGUUUUACGAACUUAUUUGUUUAUAAUUAGGUAACAGAUAGAUAUUUGAAUAUUCAGUAUAUUUUGCUUCAGUUUAGGAAAUCUUUGAUGACUUGUCUUUAGAUCCAAUAAGCCCUGUAAUCUAAAUAUUAACCUGCAGUAUACCGCAGGUAGGCUUAUAUUUUAGUUAAACUAAAAACUUUUAUUGUAAAGAUGAUUUAAAAAUAUAUGAUAUUAUUUUAUUUGAUUUUAAAUGUAUAGUAAACUGUGAGUUGUAUAUGUUUUGUUGAUAUUAUCUAUAUUAUUUAGUGUUUAAGAUUAUACACUUGUAGUUUGAUUAUUAAUUUAAGAGUUUCACCUGUAGUAUACCAUCUUGUAUUAAUAUCGAUCUAAACCCGUCAAUUCUAGGAUUUUCCAGCUUGUAUUAAAAAUUAAAUCACAUCUACUAUGUUAUUAAUUAUUGUAGUAUAUAAGAUUAUAAAUUUUCAAUAUAAUAUGUAUGAAAUUGAAUAUAAAUAUUUCAAAUUAUGACAUGUUACUCAGUAGAAAGUUUUCUUAAAUCUAUUUUUCACCCGUUAUAAUAUUUUUUCAUGUAUUGAACAGUUUAUAUUCGUUUUUAAAAAUUCAAAUUAUGGCAUAUGCGAAAAAACUCUAAUUAUUUUUCUAUAAUGAUGAUAUUAUUUUUCGGCAAAAAUGGAAUCAUAUAAAGAUGAGAAGUGAACUAUAAUAAUUAAUAAAAAAUUAAUAUGAUAAUUUAGAUAUCAAAUCUAAUUUGUUGAUUUUAAUUGGUUACUUUUUUGGGAAUUAAUAAUGUAUUUCGUUUAUCUAAUU